rnacentral:rRNA from 1 species
AACGUAGGAGGCAGGCGUUAUCCGGAAUUACUGGGCGUAAAGGGCGUCUAGGCGGCGGUACAAGCGCGAUGUGAAAGCUCCUGGCUCAACUGGGAGAGUGCGUAGCGAACUGUGCAGCUAGAGGCCAGGCGAUGGGGGUGGAAUUCCCGGUGGAGUGGUGAAAUGCGUAGAUAUCGGGAGGAACACCGGUGGCGAAGGCGGCGACCUGGGUCGAUACUGACGCUGAGGUGCGAAAGCGUGGGGAGCAAACAGG